rnacentral:tRNA from 1 species
ACUAAUUUGGCAGAGAAGUGCAAUAGAUUUAGAAUCUAAUUAUAUAGAAUAAUUCUAUAAGUAGUA